rnacentral:rRNA from 5 species
AGGGCGCAUGGUGAAUGCCUUGGCACUAGGAGCCGAUGAAGGACGGGACUAACACCGAUAUGCUUCGGGGAGCUGUACGUAAGCUAUGAUCCGGAGAUUUCCGAAUGGGGCAACCCAGCAGUUUUAAUCAACUGUUACCACUAGAUGAAUUCAUAGUCUAGUUGGAGGUAAACGCUGUGAACUGAAACAUCUCAUUAGCAGCAGGAAUAUAAAGAAAUUUCGAUUCCCUAAGUAGCGGCGAGCGAACGGGGAACAGCCCAAACCAAAGUGCUUGCACUUUGGGGUUGUAGGACUGAACAUUUGAGUUACCAAAGAACUUGAUAGUCGAAGGAUUUGGGAAAAUCCGCCAUAGAUGGUGAUAGCCCAGUAGAUUAAAUCAAAUUCUCUCAGUUCAGGAUCCUGAGUACGGCGGAACACGUGAAAUUCCGUCGGAAUCCGGGAGGACCAUCUCCCAAGGCUAAAUACUACCUAGUGACCGAUAGUGAACCAGUACCGUGAGGGAAAGGUGAAAAGCACCCCGGGAGGGGAGUGAAAUAGUUCCUGAAACCAUGUGCCUACAAUAAGUCAGAGCGCGUUAAUGCGUGAUGGCGUGCCUUUUGUAGAAUGAACCGGCGAGUUAUGAUCCCGUGCAAGGUUAAGACUAAAAAGUCGGAGCCGUAGCGAAAGCGAGUCUGAAAUGGGCGUUUUGAGUACGAGGUUAUAGACCCGAAACCAGGUGACCUAUCCAUGUCCAGGUUGAAGGUGCGGUAAAACGCACUGGAGGACCGAACCCGUGUAAGUUGAAAAUUGCUGGGAUGAGGUGUGGAUAGCGGUGAAAUUCCAAACGAACUUGGAGAUAGCUGGUUCUCUCCGAAAUAGCUUUAGGGCUAGCCUCGGAAUUAGGAUCAUGGAGGUAGAGCACUAUUUGGACUAGGGGCCCGUCUUGGGUUACUGAAUUCAGAUAAACUCCGAAUGCCAUUGAUUCAUAUCCGGGAGUCAGACGAUGAGUGAUAAGAUCCACCGUCGAAAGGGGAACAGCCCAGACCAUCAGUUAAGGUCCCUAAAUGUAUGCUAAGUGGAAAAGGAUGUGGAGUUGCAUAGACAACUAGGAUGUUGGCUCAGAAGCAGCCACCAUUUAAAGAGUGCGUAAUAGCUCACUAGUCGAGUGAUCCUGCGCCGAAAAUGUACCGGGGCUAAGCAUACUACCGAAACCAUGGAUGCGACCAUUAGGUCGCGUGAUAGGAGAGCGUUCUAAGGGCGGUGAAGCAAGAUCGUGAGGACUUGUGGAGCGCUUAGAAGUGAGAAUGCCGGUAUGAGUAGCGAAAGAUAGGUGAGAAUCCUAUCCACCGAAUGACUAAGGUUUCCUGGGGAAGGCUCGUCCUCCCAGGGUUAGUCGGGACCUAAGUCGAGGCCGAGAGGCGUAGACGAUGGAUAACAGGUUGAGAUUCCUGUACUAGUUAAGUGCGUUUGAGCAAUGGAGGGACGCAGGAGGCUAAGAUGUGCAUUCUGUUGGAUUAGAAUGUCCAAGCAGUAAGUCUUGUGAAGAGUCAAAUGCUUUUCACUUUAAGGACAAGCUGUGAUGGGGAGCGAAAUUUAGUAGCGAAGCGUCUGAUGUCACACUGCCGAGAAAAGCUUCUAGUGAGUACUUAACUACCCGUACCGCAAACCGACACAGGUAGUCGAGGAGAGAAUCCUAAGGUGAGCGAGUGAACUCUCGUUAAGGAACUCGGCAAAAUGACCCCGUAACUUCGGGAGAAGGGGUGCUGAUCGCAAGAUCAGCCGCAGUGAAUAGGCCCAGGCGACUGUUUAUCAAAAACACAGGUCUCUGCAAAAUCGUAAGAUGACGUAUAGGGGCUGACGCCUGCCCGGUGCUGGAAGGUUAAAAGGAUGGGUUAGCUUCGGCGAAGCUCAGAAUUGAAGCCCCAGUAAACGGCGGCCGUAACUAUAACGGUCCUAAGGUAGCGAAAUUCCUUGUCGGGUAAGUUCCGACCCGCACGAAAGGCGUAACGAUCUGGGCACUGUCUCAACGAGAGACUCGGUGAAAUUAUAUUGUCCGUGAAGAUGCGGACUACCCGCGACAGGACGGAAAGACCCCAUGGAGCUUUACUGUAGCUUGAUAUUGAGUGUUUGUACAGCUUGUACAGGAUAGGUAGGAGCCAUAGAAACCGGAACGCUAGUUUCGGUGGAGGCGUUGGUGGGAUACUACCCUCGCUGUAUGACCACUCUAACCCGCACCACUAAUCGUGGUGGGAGACAGUGUCAGGUGGGCAGUUUGACUGGGGCGGUCGCCUCCUAAAAAGUAACGGAGGCGCCCAAAGGUUCCCUCAGAAUGGUUGGAAAUCAUUCGCAGAGUGUAAAGGCACAAGGGAGCUUGACUGCGAGACAGACAGGUCGAGCAGGGACGAAAGUCGGGCUUAGUGAUCCGGUGGUACCGUAUGGAAGGGCCAUCGCUCAACGGAUAAAAGCUACCCUGGGGAUAACAGGCUUAUCUCCCCCAAGAGUCCACAUCGACGGGGAGGUUUGGCACCUCGAUGUCGGCUCAUCGCAUCCUGGGGCUGUAGUCGGUCCCAAGGGUUGGGCUGUUCGCCCAUUAAAGCGGUACGCGAGCUGGGUUCAGAACGUCGUGAGACAGUUCGGUCCCUAUCCGUCGCGGGCGUAGGAAAUUUGAGAGGACCUGUCCUUAGUACGAGAGGACCGGGAUGGACAUACCUCUGGUGUACCAGUUGUGCCGCCAGGCGCAUCGCUGGGUAGCUACGUAUGGAUGUGAUAAACGCUGAAAGCAUCUAAGUGUGAAACACACCUCGAGAUGAGAUUUCCCAUUCCUUUAU